AUGAACACUACAGGCAAGGCGAUAGGGACAUUUGAAAACGCAACGCAAGCACCGUAACGUAACUAUGCUCUUUGCGAACAAAGUUUGUUCGUGCUUCCAAGGCCUGCGCAAUGGCAUCUUCCGCUGCCAAGGCUAGAAAAGCUUUUCCCGGUGCCAGCGGAAUUGAACGAGUCUGAAUAUGCUAGAGGUACGUUACUUUUUUACAUCUCUUCACAAUAGACUCGGUCAGUUCUUCAUUUUUUUUUCUUUCGUUUCUCUUUUGAAACAUCUUCUCCGCUCGGAGGUACCACCUGUUGGCAAUGAUGGUGUUGAUAUGAACCCCGAAUGCGUGAAUGCUAAAGUUCUAGUGAUGUGUCUAUCUUAGCUGGCUGCAGGGCUGAAUUCAUGAGCGUUCGGUAUCUGUGACACCCCCAAGUACGCAAGAGCUCGCGAAGGUUUGUCAACGAGAGAAAUAUCCCUGUGGCCUGAAUAUUUUUUGAAUUUCUCUGGGGGAGCUAGCUUGUUUGGUCGGCUGUGCAGCUCGUCGUAAGCAUUGCGAUUGUAGAACACUGGAGGCUUGUAUCGAUGCCUUUAACUUGUGACGGUACCGUUCUUUCGAUAUUGUUUAAGUUGAUAUCCUUACGGGUCUUUGAAUUUGUUCUUGGCGAGAGCUCAAACGAUGUUUUCGUUUCGACAACCACGCAAGUACAGUAUCUACAGCGGGUGUCCGAAAACAACGGAGCUAGCAAAGUGGGAUACCAAAUGAGCAACAAAGACAGAUGAGUCUACUUGCAGUGUCUUCCUAAAUUCUUUCCUUCCCAGGUGAGGCUAGGCAGCAACAAGGCGUGAAGGGGAAAUGUAAGGCAGCUGAGUUUGUAUUUAACUCUUUGGCGGGACUGCGGACUGGAGGGAUUUACAAGCAGGACUAUAGCGUGCAUUGUACAGCAACAUGUGGAGGAUGACGAGACGACUGAGAGCGUUGAUACAACUUUAGGAGACGGAGGAUUUGGAACUUUGGCGUUGUAGAAGGCUGUUCGCGAAUGAUGCUGUCAAGUGCAUGGUGCGCCCAAGUUUACAUGAAUUGAGCAAGAGGGAGUGAUACGGAAGGUGACAUCGAGCUCGACGGGUGUCGUGCCAUUCAAGGGGGAAAGCGAGCACAAGCAAGUUGCAAGAAUGUCGCUCACAUCGUGACAGCAGUCGCCAGGCUGAGCUCCUGGCAAGAGGCAAGCGAGAGCCGAUAGCAAAUUGCAAUUGCGUCCUGGUGGUGGUAGUGCCGCUGGAGGCGGAAGAAACUGAGCUCGACAAAAAGCCAUCAGAGUGACUGUCAGCAAAGCAAGCACGCAACUCCUCUUGCCACCAAACAAACGAUAUUCCGUUGAAUCCAUCAUCUUUCGCUCGGAAACGAUAAGAUGGUUGUAAUUCAGCACGAGCAGGCUCUCCAGCAGAGAGAAAGAAGAAAAAGAAAAUGGAAAUGCUGUUUCUUAAGGAAGGGUGUGAAGAAACUUGCACCAAAGCAUUGAUGAGAACGCCUGGAGAGAUUCUCUUUCCGGCCAAGCCAAGCGCCUCUGUGCUGUUUGCGACGUCGCCUAUUUGUUUUUGCCUUUCCCUCUGCCCCCAGUGUGAUGGUUGAGAGAGACCAGACCAGCUUUAAAACUAUUUGGAAACAGCCAGCCAGGACCCAGGACGGACUUCUCGCUCAGGAGGUGAAAGAGAGGAGCGAUUCAAGCUCCAUUUAAAAGGCCUCCUUUUGUUUGCGUGGAGAAAGCUAGAAAUUUUUUACAUUUUUUUCCGGGGGGUUUAGGCGUUGUUUAUGGAUAGUUUAUGCAAAGAUGGGCGUCAAGUUAAACAAGUCGCUCACUCCAUGUGGUGUGUUUGAGAGGAAAAUCACUUUGGCCACCUUUACCUUAGCUGGGGCUCUCACAUUCACCACCACCUUUGACUUUGCCCGAGAAAUAAUCUAGACAAAGGAAUUCCAGUUCGAUUC